GGGCGAACGCUGGCGGCAGGCUUAACACAUGCAAGUCGAACGGGCGUAGCAAUACGUCAGUGGCAGACGGGUGAGUAACGCGUGGGAACGUACCUUUUGGUUCGGAACAACCCAGGGAAACUUGGGCUAAUACCGGAUAAGCCCUUACGGGGAAAGAUUUAUCGCCGAAAGAUCGGCCCGCGUCUGAUUAGCUAGUUGGUGAGGUAACGGCUCACCAAGGCGACGAUCAGUAGCUGGUCUGAGAGGAUGAUCAGCCACAUUGGGACUGAGACACGGCCCAAACUCCUACGGGAGGCAGCAGUGGGGAAUAUUGGACAAUGGGCGCAAGCCUGAUCCAGCCAUGCCGCGUGAGUGAUGAAGGCCCUAGGGUUGUAAAGCUCUUUUGUGCGGGAAGAUAAUGACGGUACCGCAAGAAUAAGCCCCGGCUAACUUCGUGCCAGCCGCCGCCGUAAG
rnacentral:rRNA from 1 species